AAAGUAAACCAUGCGCGUUCGUGCCAUAAAUAACUACGUCCUAUCUAUGUAAAUGAAAACUAGACGCAGUCAAAGAUCGUCGAAGUUCAUUAAAUAAUCCUAAUUGUAAUCCUAGGUUCAAGCUUCGACUGCGCAGCACCGAUUUGCGUAAAAUGAUUUGGACGUUCACGUUAUCGUUUAUUGCGCUGUCGCGGAGUGAUUAGCAACCCAGCGAGAAUCGUCGCAGGUCAAAUCACGGAUCCCGGUUAUUGUACGCCGGUGGACGAGGUCGUCGAUUGAAAUUCAGUUACCUUCACCUGUCGGGGGAUCGUUGGAAGUCGAGGAACGAAACUUCCGGAUAUUUCAUCGAAGGAGAGGGGAGGGGAAGGACCUUGCGGAGUAAAUACCGAGAAACUCGUGAUAUGGCCGACAAGAUAGUUAUGACGAGAAACGCGGAAAACGCGAGCAGGGGUGAAAAUGAGGAAGAGGAAUACGAUCCUGCCGCGCACCGUCCCCCAGGACCCCUGACUUCGGACUUCGCCGUACUCAUGCAUCUAUUGAAGACCUCCAUUGGAAAUGGAAUACUUUUCUUGCCUAACGGAUUCAGGAGAACAGGCUACGUAAUGUCAAUAAUCUGCAGUGUCUUUAUAGGCUUGACGUGCACCCACACAGUCGUGGUGUUGGUGCGAUGCGCUCAGGUGUUAUGCAGGCGCAAUCGCAUACCGAUGCUGGAUUUCGCCCAAACGGCGGAGGUCUCGUUCCAAAGUGGUCCCCGAUGGAUUCGAAAGUAUGGGAAAACGUUUGGCGUUUUCAUCAACAUUUUCGUCUGUUUUGUACACUUCCAAGGUGCCGUCAUAUACAUACUUUACGUUGCCACCUCCUUUCAGCAAGUGAUCGAGUUCUUUUCUGGGUUCGAAAUGGACGCGCGAAUCUACAUAGCCGCCUUGUUCCCUUUCGUCUGCGGACUCGGCUUCGUGCCAAACCUGGCGUACCUGGCACCUUUUUCCAUAAUCGGUUUUCUAUUCAUGUUCGUCGGCAUUUGCGUCACCCUUUACUAUCUGCUGGACAAUUUCCCCGAUCCUGGAAGGCUCGAAACGUUCACGGACGUGUUGCAUGUGCCGAUGUAUUGCAACUUGAUGCUGUACGCUCUGCACAACGUGACCAUGUACAUGCCGUUGGAGAACACGAUGAAGAACCCGCACCACCUGCCGCGGCUGAUAACGUUCAACAUGUUGCUUAAUACCUGCCUGUACACAGCGUUCGGAUUUUUGGGGUACAACAAGUACAUGCUCGAUACCUGCGACACUGUGAUCAAGAAUCUCCCGAUCGAGGAAACGCUCGCCCAAACCAUUAAAAUAGUCAUUAGUUUGGCUGUCUUUUUCUCGUUUGGGUUAGCUUAUUACGUGCCAAUGUCAAUAUUGUGGCCGAUGAUCGAGUCGAAAUUUAAGACUCCCAGUUAUGGCAAAGUUGCGUUUCAGUUCAGUGGAAUACUUCUGACGACACUAUUAGCCAUCACUAUCCCUAACAUGAUUCCUCUUCUUGGACUACUGACAGCAUUAAGCGUAACCACAGUGAUGUUAUUAAUUCCCGUACUGAUAGAAACUGCAACAAAAUGGCACGAGGCUACGCGGCUUCUUUUAGCGAAGAACAUAAGCAUAUUCCUCAUUUGGAUGCUCCUGUUGCGUCGGAAAUAAACCAUAUCAACUUUGGGAAAGCUGUAUAUUAUUCUUCAAUGUUUCAUUCUUGAGUCAUUUUUGGAGCAAUUGAGAGUACGUGGUCCAUCAUUAGAGAAUACAAUGGCGUGAAAGAGAAAGGGUGUUGAUUAGCAGUCAAUUACUGAAAAUGAACAUUUUCCUGAACUUCAUGGAAUCUCAAUAAAUUUUAUAAGUCGGUAGAUUUGUACUUUUUAGUAAUUACGAAAUAUACAUACCACUCUAAGUUUCAUUUGUAAAUUUAAGAAUAUCGUGUAAGUUAUAUUUUAGCGUAAAACUGAAUAAUUUAAGAAGAUGGUUGCAGAGUCCGAACAUUAAACCGCAAGGUAAGACGUACACGAAGACUUGGGCAACGUUGCUUACAUUAUAUCAUUUUCUUGUCGACUAGAAUGAAUGUGGAAGUAAAAAUACAAUAACUUUUCGAACAACUUGCUUUAAUUUAUUUACAGCGAUUGAUUUCAAAUUGUUUUAUACACAGCAACGGAAUAGGAUACGAUUAUAUUGCAAUUGCAUCAGCGCAAAGAGAAGACCUUUAAUUCGCGGAUGUACAAAUUCUUGUGUAAAUGAGGUAACAUCAAGAUAUAUUCUAUAAAACCAUGUAACAUUCGUUCAGUAGAAUUGCCAGAGGUAACUUAUAUGGUUUAUCGGUUCCGUAUGAAUAAUUUAAUAUGCUAAGUGUGAAUGGUUGAAUAGUCAUGAAAACAGUUCUUGGUAUAGUGGCGAUUUUGAUCGAAGAUUAAUGAGAAAAUAAUUAAUUUCUUUUUU